rnacentral:rRNA from 1 species
AUUGAACGCUGGCGGCAGGCCUAACACAUGCAAGUCGAGCGGAUGAAGGGAGCUUGCUCCUGGAUUCAGCGGCGGACGGGUGAGUAAUGCCUAGGAAUCUGCCUGGUAGUGGGGGAUAACGUCCGGAAACGGGCGCUAAUACCGCAUACGUCCUGAGGGAGAAAGUGGAGGAUCUUCGGACCUCACGCUAUCAGAUGAGCCUAGGUCGGAUUAGCUAGUUGGUGGGGUAAAGGCCUACCAAGGCGACGAUCCGUAACUGGUCUGAGAGGAUGAUCAGUCACACUGGAACUGAGACACGGUCCAGACUCCUACGGGAGGCAGCAGUGGGGAAUAUUGGACAAUGGGCGAAAGCCUGGUCCAGCCAUGCCGCGUGUGUGAAGAAGGUCUUCGGAUUGUAAAGCACUUUAAGUUGGGAGGAAGGGCAGUAAGUUAAUACCUUGCUGUUUUGACGUUACCAACAGAAUAAGCACCGGCUAACUUCGUG